ACCCAAUCACCCCCCUCCCUCCCUAUUUCCCAACUGUAAAUCACCACCACAGCCACGAGUCACCGCACCAAACCACAACCACCACACGAAACCGCAGCACACCACCACCACCACCGCAAACCGCACUACACCACCACCACUCUCACCGCACACACUGCACUUAAACCCACGAGGACCGCGCCGCUGCUCUGCUCGAGUUCUUGGUGUUGCGUCCCAAAUCAAUUCACCACCCACCACGUCGGUUUCUUGCUGCCUCCCGGAGUUGCCGCCAAAGAGAGGUACAAUGGGCCCGCCGUGCAAUCCUCCGCCUUCUUCGCGGCCGCGACUGGCAGUGGUGGUUCGUUCAAGGCAGUGGUGGAGGUGCGUUGGUGAAGGAGCGUGAGUGAGUGAUUGAGUGAAGAUGAUGGUGGUACGGUGGUGAAGGACCGUGAGAGGGUGAAGAUGAUGGUGGUGUUGACGAAGAUGAUGGUGGUGUUGACGGGAAGGGUGGCGGUUGUGGGGAUGGUGGUGACAGGGAGGGUGGUAGAGAUGUUUGGGGGCUGUCGGCUACUCAACAGUGGUGGUGGAGAGGGUGGGGGCUGUCGGAAUAUAGUUAGGGGCACAAUUGUCCUUUCAUGUAAAAUACGCGGGCGUUUUUAACGAACGAGGACGUCGAAUAGCGAUACACUUUAUUUAAGGGAUACACUUGCCUUUUCCGGCCGUAUUUAUUUAAGAGAUACACUUGCCAUUUUUAGUAACUUAUCAACCCCACCAUCUAAUUAAAUAAUACAUCUAAUGUACUCUGUGACCCACUAUCCUAAUAAACAAAUAAUUUCAUAAACUCACCCCACCUUCCACCCCCUAAAAUGGCAUGGUCCCCACUUAUUUACUUAUUAAAAUAUCUACCUAACCCCACUUGCUUUAUUAUUUUAUUUAAUUCAAUUAUUUUUCUUAAUACCCGUGUCCGCCCAAGUGUAUCUCUUAAAUAAAUACGGAGGUAGUAUAUCAUUGUAGAGAUGGUUAGAACCUUCAUUGUGAUUAAGAGGUCAUGGGUUCGAAUAUUAAUACCAACAUUUUUUGUGAUAAAAAUUGAGUAAUGCAUGUGUGCGCGCCCAUGACAUAACACAUCUUCAUUUCACUUGCCAAAUCACAGUGACACAUGGCAACGUAACAUUCAUUGCAUUGGAGAUUUAAUAAUAGUAUAGAUUCCACUCUCCUGCAAACCGCUCUUCAACCGUCUUUCACUAGGAGUAUAUAUACAUUCAGAACCGACAUGCAGAAGGACAUAUCCACACACAAACAAAGCAUUUCUUAUUUUCGGAGUUUUAGCCCUAGCGCUUAGUGUAGUUCUACGCUUAGAGUCUAUCAGUGGCGUAGCAAUAGUUCGUAGCGUUUCCCUCAUGUAUUGAAGCACUUCCGGCAGUUUAUGUUGCAAAAGUGAUUAAUAAAUUAAUAAUUCUUCGUGUUCAA